rnacentral:rRNA from 1 species
CCUACGGGGGGCAGCAGUGAGGAAUAUUGGGCAAUGGGCGCAAGCCUGACCCAGCAAAGCCGCGUGAAGGAAGAAGGCUUUCGGGUUGUAAACCUCUUUUGACAGGGAAGAGUAGAAGACGGUACCUGUCGAAUAAGCCACGGCUAACUACGUGCCAGCAGCCGCGGUAAUACGUAGGUGGCAAGCGUUGUCCGGAUUUACUGGGUGUAAAGGGCGUGUAGCCGGGUUGACAAGUCAGAUGUGAAAUCCUUCGGCUUAACCGCAGAACUGCAUUUGAAACUGUUGAUCUUGAGUGCUGGAGAGGCAGACGGAAUUCCUGGUGUAGCGGUGAAAUGCGUAGAUAUUAGGAGGAACACCAGUGGCGAAGGCAGGCGGCUGGACAGCAACUGACGGUGAGGCGCGAAAGCGUGGGGAGCAAACAGGAUUAGAUACCCGAGUAGUC